rnacentral:rRNA from 1 species
GACGAACGCUGGCGGCGUGCUUAACACAUGCAAGUCGAACGGUGAUCUUGAGAGCUUGCUCUUGGGUGAUCAGUGGCGAACGGGUGAGUAACACGUGAGUAACCUGCCCCUGACUCUGGAAUAACUUCGGGAAACCGAAGCUAAUACCGGAUAUGACACAGAGCCGCAUGGUUUCUGUGUGGAAAGUUUUUCGGUUGGGGAUGGACUCGCGGCCUAUCAGCUUGUUGGUGAGGUAAUGGCUCACCAAGGCGACGACGGGUAGCCGGCCUGAGAGGGCGACCGGCCACACUGGGACUGAGACACGGCCCAGACUCCUACGGGAGGCAGCAGUGGGGAAUAUUGCACAAUGGGCGAAAGCCUGAUGCAGCGACGCCGCGUGAGGGAUGAAGGCCUUCGGGUUGGUAAACCUCUUUCAGUAGGGAAGAAGCGCAAGUGACGGUACCGUACAGAAGAAGACACCGGCUAACUACGUGGCCAGCAGCCGCGGUAAU